rnacentral:rRNA from 1 species
AUAGGAAUCUGCCCAUGUAGUGGGGGACAACCUGGGGAAACUCAGGCUAAUACCGCAUAAGCCCUUCGGGGAAAGCAGGGGAUCUUCGGACCUUGCGCUAUUGGAUGAGCCUAUGUCUGAUUAGCUUGUUGGUGGGGUAACGGCCUACCAAGGCGACGAUCAGUAGCUGGUCUGAGAGGACGAUCAGCCACACUGGGACUGAGACACGGCCCAGACUCCUACGGGAGGCAGCAGUGGGGAAUAUUGGACAAUGGGGGCAACCCUGAUCCAGCAAUGCCGCGUGUGUGAAGAAGGCCUGCGGGUUGUAAAGCACUUUCAGUAGGGAGGAAAAGCUUAAGGUUAAUACCCUUGAGUCUUGACGUUAUCUACAGAAGAAGCACCGGCUAACUCUGUGCCAGCAGCCGCGGUAAUACAGAGGGUGCAAGCGUUAAUCGGAAUUACUGGGCGUAAAGCGCGCGUAGGGGUUUGUUAAGUCGGAUGUGAAAGCCCCGGGCUCAACCUGGGAACUGCAUUCGAUACUGGCAGGCUAGAGUAUGGUAGAGGGAAGUGGAAUUCCGGGUGUAGCGGUGAAAUGCGUAGAUAUCCGGAGAACAUCAGUGGCGAAGGGGCUUCCUGGACCAAUACUGACGCUGAGGUGCGAAAGGUGGGGAGCAAACAGGAUUAGAUACCCUGGUAGUCCACGCCGUAAACGAUGAGAACUAGACGUUGGGUUCAUUUAAGAACUUAGUGUCGCAGCUAACGCGUGAAGUUCUCCGCCUGGGGAGUACGG